GAGAGUGAAGCCUAAUUUAGUUCAGUUGAUGUAUUGUGUGUUAAUCUUGUUUAUUUGUUUGUUAUUUAUUCUGUUAUUAUUAUUCUGUCAUAAUUAUUGUCUGGUGUUUUAUUGGCUAUGUAUUAUUGGGGUUCUCUGGUUGGUGGUACUUUGUGAGAUAGGAUCUCCACACGAGUCUGAGAAAAACCAUAAGAUUAAGUUGGUGGUUGCAUAGUGGACGCCCACAAGGAGUCUUCCUUGUUG
rnacentral:lncRNA from 1 species